rnacentral:rRNA from 1 species
UACGGAGGCGGCAAGCGUUGUCCGGAAUUAUUGGGCGUAAAGCGUACGUAGGCGGUCAUCUAAGUCUGGGGUUAAAGACCAAGGCUCAACCUUGGGAGUGCCCUGGAUACUGGGUGACUGGAGGACGGCAGAGGAAAGUGGAAUUCCCAGUGUAGCGGUGAAAUGCGUAGAUAUUGGGAGGAACACCAGUGGCGAAAGCGACUUUCUGGGCCGUUCCUGACGCUGAGGUACGAAAGCCAGGGGAGCAAACGGG